rnacentral:tRNA from 1 species
GCCUGUAGCUCAGUUGGGAGAGUGCCGCAUUCGCAUUGCGGAGGUCGAGGGUUCAAAUCCCUUCAGGUCC